CGGCAAUAGCUCAAAUUUGAAAUCUGGCUCGCGCCCGAGUUGUAAUUUGCAGAGGUGGCUUCGGAGCCGCACCGGCCUAAGUUCCUUGGAACAGGACGUCACAGAGGGUGAGAAUCCCGUACGUGCCCGGUGGCCGCCCCCGUGUGAAGCUCCUUCGAC
rnacentral:rRNA from 1 species